GACGUAGGUGGCGAGCGUUGUUCGGAAUCACUGGGCAUAAAGCGCUCGUAGGCGGCCAAGUCAGUCAGGUGUGAAAUACCUCGGCUCAACCGAGGAACUGCGCCUGAUACUGCUUGGCUUGAGGUCCGGAGGGGAGAGUGGAAUUCCCGGUGGAGCGGUGAAAUGCGUAGAGAUCGGGAAGAACGCCGGCGGCGAAAGCGACUCUCUGGUCGGAAUCUGACGCUGAGGUGCGAAAGCUAGGGGAGCAAACGGG
rnacentral:rRNA from 1 species